GGGCGCGCGAGCCUGGAGUCGGGGCCCCAGAAGGCGUGGCAGGGAAACUUCAGAUGGGAUCCUGGAAAAAAACUGAUGGAAGCUGGCUAAUGGCUGUUUCAUCUCAGCUAAAUGUGCCCAGAAACAAACAAAAACAUUCCAACAUAGUAAGCUCCACACCCAACAUGGGGCUAGAACUCUCGAUCCUGAGAACAAGAGUGGCAUGCUCUACUGACUGAGCCAGCUACGGACCCUUUCCUCAGGUAUUUUUGGUAGAAAUCUUAAAGCUUGCUAAGUUAAGUGAUGAGUUAAGUUAAAUUCAUAGACUAUCCAGAUCAUUUCCAAAUAAGAUAAAAUACUGAAAUGUUAAUUACUGAACAUAGGCUUAUCUUCUUUUUGCUUCCUUUUGCAGAAGAACUAAAGGUAAUUGCGUCUAUUGGUCAACAUGUUUUAUACCACGUUGAGAAAUUUCCUUUAAAAAAAGUGUGUUUCUAGGGGUGCCUGGGUGACACACUUGGUUGAGCAUCAGAUUCUUGGGUUCAGCUCCAGUUGUGAUCUUGGGGUAGUGGG